rnacentral:rRNA from 1 species
AAUCAACGCUGGCGGCGUGCCUCAGACAUGCAAGUCGAACGCGAAAGUUCCCUUCGGGGGGCGAGUAGAGUGGCGCACGGGUGAGUAACACGUAGGUAAUCUACCUUUGGGUGGGGAAUAACAGCCGGAACGGCUGCUAAUACCGCAUAAUGCAGCGGCUCGACAUCGAGACAGUUGUUAAAGCGGGGGAGUCNCAAGACCUCGCGCCUAAAGAGGAGCCUGCGGCGGAUUAGCUUGUUGGUGAGGUAAUGGCUCACCAAGGCAUCGAUCCGUAGCCGGCCUGAGAGGGCGGGCCGGCCACACUGACACUGACAUACGGGUCAGACUCCUACGGGAGGCAGCAGUC